AAAAAAGGAAAGGGAAAAAGAAGGGAAAGGGAAAGGAGAAGGGAUGAAGAAUGGAAGAAGAAUGGAAGGAAAAGGAACAGGAUCUCAGAAAUUAUUGAGGCAAUUAUGUGAGUGCAGUAUGUGAGAAGUAAUCCCAGCUGCUGGGAGCUGGGGGGAAGAGAAUUCAUGGUGUGAUCCAAAGGGGCCCCAGAGAGCGCACGCCAGCAGCGGUGACCUGGUUUGCAGAUGGAUCCAACGCUCCUCUGCUUCCAAGCCCAACACACCGCCCUGCUCCUGGGUGUCAGCGCUGCUAUCAUGCACUAAUCUGUUUAUUUCUGUUUGCUUCCUUUCUUAUUUUUCCCGUCUUUUGAAUUAAAAGCUAAUCCACCAUGCUGAUUCUCAUAAUUUCAAGCCAUGAAUCGAACACAGGAAUUCUUGAACAGGUUUUUGCUCCCCUGGCAGCAUCACUUUCCCCAGUGCACAGGAAACCAAAGGCAGACAGCAGAGCAAGAAAACAUAACACAGCUCCUGCAUCACGCCAGCUCCUCGGGCUUCCAGCACAUCUCAACACAGAACUAGAGCAAAAGGGCAGAUUAUUUAAAGCCGUCACAUGUAGGCCAAUUUUCGCUGCAGUUCCUUUUGGCUCUGAUUUUGCAGGCCCCAGUGGAGUGGUGAAGUCAUGAAUAAAUGCAAGCAAACCGAGCUGAUCCACUCUCAUUUGAGCAGUGGAGUUUACUCGCCCCAUGCUGCUUCAGCUGGAACACCAGAAGCAUCCCUUCCGUUUGGCUUCGACCGGAGCUGAGUGACUGCCGCGCUUGUCAUCGUGUGGUCAAAACAGUGUUGAGAGCCAGAUCCUUCAAAGUUGGAAAAAUCAUAAUAAUGGAGUCCCCGCCAUCCUGCUGUGUUUAUAAAGAGAUGUUUUCUUCCUGAGCUACACAGCAUGGUGGGCUUAAUCUGAAAUUUCUUUUUAAUCAUAGCGGGAGUCCCAAUUAACGUGUCGGGUAAUCGCUCGAGUAGAACCGGAGCUUCAUGGCUGCGGGGAUGAGCAGGAAAGGACCCUUGGGGUCAGGACCAAGAACACUGAGCAUCCCCUGCCACAUUUGGGGCACACAGAGUACUGAGCAUCCCCUGUGACAUUUUGGGGCAUACAUCGCUCUGAGAAUCCCCUGCAACACUUCAGGUGCUUAGAGCUCUGAGUGUGCCCAGCCACAUUUGGAGCACACAGAGCACCGAGCAUUCCCUGCCACACUUGGAGCCCUGGGCUCACUCAGCUGCAGCAGGGCACAGGGCACAGCUCCGGGCACUGCAGGGUUCCAUGUUCCCUCUCCGUGCCCCUUCCUGGAGGAGACACACAGUGCAUUCCUGCUGCAGGAUGCAGCCGUGCUCCAGCGCGUGCCGGCGGGACCGGCCCUGACCUACUUUCUUUUGUUGCGGGAGCUGCAGGCAGGAUGCAGGAUGCUGUGUGCAGGCAGCGUGCAGUCAGGAUCCAGCUUUGCUUUGCUCCUGCACAUCUCCUGACAUCGCCAUAACUGCUGUUUCCAUCCAGACCUCAAUCUAUUUAGACCAAUCCCAAAAGCAGGACGCUCCAACCCACCCUGUCCACCCGGCACAGAAAACUGCAGCACCCUGCAGUCUACAAACAUUGGACCUACAUGGCCAGGUGCCCUUUAGCUCUCCAAGGACGCACCCGCACUUCUAUGGGCAGCCAACCCAGGCACCCUUGAGCACAGAAAGCUCACUCUACGUCUCUAUACUCCAUUCAUGCAUUGGGGUUGAACCUGGCAUUGUGCUGACCUGGAAAGCGAAGCUGUUUAAAAUUCAAACGCGCACCCGUAGCGGAUUUCAGCGAUGCUACAGAGAACGCAGCCCUCCUCCUGCACAGCUCCAGCAGCACUUUGGUCGGGAUGCUGAGCUGUAGCCCCGAGGUUUGGGGCUCAGAGGCUCGCUGCAGUCACUGGGUCUCGUGCAAAUUGGUCUUCAGAGGGAAAGAGCUCCACCACCGCAUGCACAAACACUCCUCAGCAACCGACUAAAGAGCUCCACCAGCCACCUGGGUUAACACGGCAGCUGGAUUUUGCAGAUUUGGAGAUAAAAGGCUGCAUUGCUUAACUCGCAUCCUGCAGCCCUUGUAAGGCAGCCAUUCCGCACGAGGCUUCCCUUCUGCAAUGCUUUAAGGAUGGAGCAUUUUAAUUGAUUAGCUCCAUUAUGGAGGAGCAGAAUAGCAGUGGUGCAAUUGAACUUUGGUCCUUGAAAUGCAGGGAGACAUCAGCUUGCAGUGUGCUGGAAGCCUUGGGGACUCAUUUCUGCUGCCCCGUGCUCUCAACCUGGGAUUUCCCUUAAGCACAUGGGAUGCAUCUAUACAUGAGUUGGGGCAGGAAAGGGGAACUGCUUCACAUUGACAUUCAGUCAACAGAUUCUAAUGAUAAAACCGUUUCAAACCCACCCUUUGAUUAAAAUCAAAGCCGUGGAAAACUCAUGCUAAGGUUCAUCUAAUGAAUUCUUCCUCCCAGGACUUUAGCAGCAGCAUGCCAGUGACUGAAUCCAAGGGGUUGAGCUCAAUGUGAUCACUGCGGUCCUCUUUUCCCUCAUUUUCACCCCAGUUCCUCAUGCGAACUUAGCGGGAUGAAUAAAUCUGGCAUGGCCCCCACAAAAAUAAUCCCUUCUAUUGAGCAGCAACAGGCUGCUGGGGAGAGGAUAAGAGGCACUCUAAGGCAAAAAACAACAAUCUCCAACCGCAUAUAUAUGAAAUUAAAGGAUGUAGGUAAUUAAUUGUUUGAUAAGAUAAUGUAAUCUGCACUAAGCUGGGGCUGCGUGAGUCAGAGAUGCAAGAGGCAGAAAACAUGUUCAUCACUCAGUCCACCUCUUUACCAACGCGUGUUUUCUAGCAUUUGUCCAGUGUAGGUUUUCUGUUGUUUUGAAAGUCAAUGAAUCAACUUUUCUGAUAUUCAUCCCGACGCCAAACAGGAGCUCUUGGCAUUUGCUGCGGAUGAAUAACCGACGGGUAACGGUGCCGUUGCGUGAGAUCAUCCAAGAAAAACCAAGGAGAGGUUUCCCCAGGACACAGCUGGCAUAACCACGCUGCCUUCCCCCAUAUAGAGGAGCUCACAUCCCUACGCAUUGAGCUGAGACAACCGCCCGCCCUCCGGCGUUGCGCUUUUGUUGGUGGCUCCCAUCUCCCCCAACACCCAUCGCCUUGUGUUGAGUGAGCUCCGUGCUCUCACCGCCCUUACCUCACUCUUAGCAACCCUGCUAUUUAAAGUCGCAAUCUGUUGCAGCGAAGCAGCCUGGCAGUCUAUAAACAAGCUGUUAUGACCCCGCUGCAGGAAGAGGAGGAAAUGGCCUAUGCUUUAAAGGCAGCUGCCUCCAGUAAUUAGAAGAGAGGAGACAAACAUGAAAGCAAUGACGUUUCGAUGUGCUGUUAUUUAAAGGGUACGCUGAUGCCCUGAGCCCCUCGUUAGCACCCAGGUAUGCAGAUUGUGUGCAAUUAGCCAAGCACAGAGGGGCAGUGGCCAUGGCAGGGGGUCAACGCUCAUUUUUAUAGCCAACAAAACAGGACGAAGGAGGUGCUGGGGGCUUUAUUCUGAACCAGCCUUUGUUUUUCUUAGAGCGCAACCUCAGCCACUUCUGUUAUCAGCCGCCCUGAAAGGUUUUUAUUAGUCCUAAUGCUCUGUAGAAGAACGAAAGAGGUAACAGCACAUAUGUUCUGCUCUGCCCAAAAGGGCGUGAAAGAGAGAAGUGGUGCUCCGCAGCAGCACUGCAACGCUCGCAUUGCCGCCAGCUGCUGCCCAACCCAGCACAGCUGUGCAUGGCAUUGCUGCAAGGAGCAGAGCUGGGGCAGGAGGAGCAGCAAAGGGGAAGGUCCCAUCUGAGGAAUGAGUGUUUCCUUCAUUGCAGUGCAGAGGAGAUGUCUUCCUUGCAAAUGGUUCUGCUCCACUCCAUCUCCCAGAUGGGAAGGAGGGAAAAAGGCAAAAUCAGCAGCAGCGUCGCACCUGGAAAGCUCACAGUGUAAAACCAAGCAGGGCACGUAUGUCCCAUCAGGCUGCCUUGACAUUACACUCACAAAUAACCCUGAGUGUUUUUAGGGCAGAGCUCUGAAAUGGAUUUGCUGAGGGCUCUGAUGACACCAACGCACAGAGUGGUUCCUCUGGGUGCCUUUGGGAACGGCAGCGCCAAGGGGAGCAGGAGCUGAGCUGUUCCAGGAGAGAUUAAAGAUGAAAAUUAGCAGAGUUACAGCUUAUGCACAUUCCAAUAAGAGCAUUUACCACCGCUCGGAUAAUUAAAAAGAUUUUUCACCAGUGACCGGGUUGACGGGGCUGCAUCCCACUGGCUCCCCAAAAACCCAACACCAAUGAGCAAAGAGAGUGUGGAGCAGAGCUGCUGCUUCUCCCAGGGCAAUCUGAUACAUCCCUACGGGAUGACACCGAGGUUGGGUUUGUGCAGAACCAUUUUUAGCUGGAUCCUCUCUGGCCAACUAUAUAGAAAUGCUGGGAUUCUGAGUGUAAUUAUCCCAAAGAAUAGCGUGUCAGGUAGAGCAGUGCCAGUCACCAAUUAGUUUGGUUGCAUGUUAAGAGGGAGAAUAUAGGCAGUAGAACAUGAGGCAGAGAGUGAGGGAUGCGUACUGCAUUAAGUGUAUUUACAACACAUGAGCUAAUAGUAAAAGCAAUAAUUAGCUACUAUUAAUACCAGUGGGAGAAAAAAAACAAGGGGAGGGAAGCUGCACCGCUGAACCCAAGUUGUUUAUAUGAGGUGCCUAACACAAGCAAACAGCAAAGGGGCACAGAAAGUGUGGACAGAGCAGCAAACAGGGUGGCCUUUUCUUGAAUGGCAUUGAGCCCAUUGCAUCCCCAUUUCCACACUUUGCAUAUAAUUGUAGAAUCGUUCGGGAUGGAAAAGACCUCUCAGAUCAUCCAGUCCAACCUACCACAAGCACUGGUGGUAAUCAAUGCUGCCCACUGACCAUAGCACCCAGUGCCAUAUCUCCAACCCAAACCUCCCUUGAGUCCACUCUUCUCGUUCUAUCACUGUAACCAGGGAGAAGAGGCCAACCCCCACCUCACCACAACCUCCUUUCAGAUCCAUUGCAUAGAGAACCUCUUGCAAGACUUCCAAGUUAGACUAACUCCAGCAGCACAGACUGCCAUCCCUGGGCGUGCUCAUGGCUGAGUUGGAUGGGGACGUGGCCAACCUGAUCUGCUGCCUGAUGCAGUGUUUGUCAACCCUGUCUGCACCUGGAUAACCUUUGAGGUCCCUUCCAACCCAUUCUAUGAAAUUUCUCUAUGAAAUUCUACAGCCGAGAAGGAAGGAGGACAUCCCACCACAUCACCCAAAACCCUUCCAUGGUUUGGACAAUGCAAUGACACAGAGCGGGAGGAAGGAGCGAGGUUGGCUCAGGCGAGACACAGAGCUUUCAUAAUGCAGCCCUUUGUUCUGCUGGAGGAAUUCAACUGCUAUAAAUUCAUUCCCCUGGUAAAUGCAGCAGUUAUCAAGGCAUUUUACCACAGGAUUCCUGGUCUCCUAGUGAAGUUAAAUGCAGUGCCAUUACGGCAGCACUUUAACGUGUAAAUAUUACAUUCCUGGUUCUUUAGGGGAUGUUCAUUUAGUGAAAUAAAACCCUGCUAGUAAAACACCUGAUCAAACCCUUCAGCCCAACUGGCCCAGUAAUUGCUCUAGGACUGGAAGGAGUCCAAUGACUGGUUGCAAUUUAUGGCCACUUUAGGAAAAAAAUCUACCUUGAAGCAUCCGCUAAGGACUGAGUUGUAGAUGAGCUCAUGGAGUACAUUUACAUCGCUGCCUGCUGCAACAUUAAGUGGCCGCUAAUUCGUGCUGAGCUCCUUUGUAAUCCUGACGGAAUCACAUUUGACAAUCACAUAAAUAGCAAAAAAAAAAAAAACCAACCCAACUCCUCGGGAAUAACGUUACUACAAGAA